UUUUGUCGGGCCAUGAAUUUAACCCCAACUCCCUCAUCCUCAUCUCACCCAAAAGAAAAGAAAACCCGAAACCCCAAAUCCUCAAUCUCUCUCUCGUCCCCUGCUUCCUCCCUCGCCAGAACCGGUUGUUUCAUCGUUUGUGAUGUGCGUUGUCUUGGGCUUGCUGCUCGUCGGAGCUGUGCGUGUGGUGCUGCUCGCAAGCCACCACACCACUGCUGUUGUUGUUGCCCUGUUCCUCUCUCUCGUGUUGUGGUUCCUCUUUCUCUUCUAUUUGUUCGUUGCUACUGCUGUGGUGGCGGAGUUGGCGCCGCCAUGGCCUGCCGCUACGUCGUUGGUGCUCCACCCUCGGGUACCGAAGCUUUGAAAACCUCUUCAUCCCUCUGUUCUUCGUUGCUAUCUUAGCAGAGGUUAAUAAUGGAGGAAUGUUAUGGAAUCAAGAGAGUUGAUGGGGUUAUGAAGUUCUCAAAGUUCUUAUUGUCGGAGCUAAAGAAUGGAUCGCGUAUGAGGAUUGCUGUUGUGAGCUCGGAGUUGGAAGUGGCCGGAGCGAGAUUAUGAUUUGGAUUAUGAAUUAAGCUUGUAUUUUAGAUAGCUGAUUUGAGAUUAGUUAUUUAUAUUUCAUUGUAUAUCAUUUUCAGAAUUAAAGUGGAAUUAUUGAUGUAAUUAAGAUUAUUUUUCCACUGCGAUAUUAUUUAAUUAAGAACUAAUUCUAGUUUAUGGA